AAAAAUCAUAUUAAAACAUUUUUAUAUGAUGUGGAAUUAUACUAAGGCAUCUCAAUUCUUUCUAAAACAUAUAAAAAAAUAUAGAAAAAAAUAACAGUAUAUUCAUGUAAAGCUAAAAUGAACCUCUAAUUUAGAUGCCAUAGUAUGGAUAACAAUUAAAUUAAUCUAAUUAAUUAAUUGAUCAAUAAUAGACCAUAUACUUUGAGUGGUUUUUCUUCUAUUCUUUUUCACCGAUGGUUAUAUUUUCUCAAUUCAUAUUUAAUCUUUCUCUUUU
rnacentral:lncRNA from 1 species